rnacentral:rRNA from 1 species
GCUAAUACCGCAUAAGCGCACGGUUCCGCAUGGAACAGUGUGAAAAACUACCGGUGGUACAGGAUGGAUUCGCGUCUGAUUAGCCAGUUGGUGGGGUAACGGCCUACCAAAGCAACGAUCAGUAGCCGGCCUGAGAGGGUGAACGGCCACAUUGGGACUGAGACACGGCCCAAACUCCUACGGGAGGCAGCAUG